AGGAGACAGAGCUUCAGACACCCAGAUCUGCAGGAAGAAAAUGAGGUGAGUUGAGGAGGUUUGUACUCUGUGUAUCUGGAUAAAACUCUCAAGCUGCUUGUACACUCAUAUUUUACAAGAAUCACUGCUGGAAGACCCUGCAGCUGGCAUGUUUUGCAGGCAGAAAGGACAUCUAAGAAGUGUAAUGACUUCUUUAUUCCUGCAUUUCUGUGCUGCUGCGGAAUUAGACAGAGAAACUGAAGUUCUGUGACAAAGGAGAUCACUUUUAAAGAUGUCGCUUGAUUC